UUGCCUCUUGACAGAUUUGCCCUUGGACUUUUUCCUGGACAACAUACCCGGACAAUUGCUUUCAGUUGGAUUCGGACAUCAGCAUAUGUUGUACUUUGUAAAUUGUGCCAUAUUACACUGAGUGACCUUCAGCGGAUCCAGGUCACCUUACAGUCACAGGAAAGGAGCUGUGGUCCGAGAUUCAAAUAGGCCUCAUUUUGUUUUUUGCUUUUUUUGGCUCAUGUGGCUUGUUGCUUCCCCCUGUUGCAUUGCGCUAUGAGACAACAUUUCUUCCUCAGAGCUGGACAAGUCUUUGAGCAGAAGCUUUCUGCCAUCACCAGCCUUCGAACUGGAAUGUGCAUCUUCACCCUGGAACUUGUCUCGACGAUUCACCUGGGUGGAUGUCCUUGCGGGCUGUUUCAGAACUCUGAGAAAAUGGCGGCACAGCUUGGGUCUCUGAAUCACCUCUGAAUAAUCACUGAAACUAAACAGAGCUUGUUUGUUGGGAAACCAACCACCAUCGUUGUGAAGCUCAUCAUUGGUUAAAGCGGCCGGAGCAGCGGCCGGAGUCCGUCAGCACCGCGGCCACGUUUGCUCAUCUGUCUCCCGCGGAGUAGGAGAAAAUCCCGCCGUCACUCGCAGCCUCACGAGAUCAAUUCCGGACCAAUUAACAGCCAUUCCGAGGAUUUCCCAUGAUGCCACAGUGUCCAUGCAGAGAGAAAACGAAGCAAAAGGGAAGAGACGAAAUGAGUCAUUUCCACGGCUUGUUUGUCAGAACAUGUCUUGAUAUUAAUAAGUCUUAUAAAUGUAUAGAAGGACACAGCUCCUGCAGAUUUUUUUCCGGGGGUGUUUUUUGUUUUACGUGUAUUAUGUUUACAUAACACAGGAGCACAGUGUGUGUGUGUGCGUGUGUGCGUGUGUGCGUGUGUGUGCGUGAUGUCAUGGAAUGUCUAGAGUGCAGAACCCAGUCAUGCUCUCUUUUUCUAAUGUAGACUGAUGUUAAAAAAAUGACAUAUAAAAAA